rnacentral:rRNA from 1 species
CCUACGGGAGGCAGCAGUGGGGAAUAUUGGACAAUGGGCGCAAGCCUGAUCCAGCAAUUCCGCGUGGGUGAAGAAGGUCUUCGGAUUGUAAAGCCCUUUCGACGGGGACGAUGAUGACGGUACCCGUAGAAGAAGCCCCGGCUAACUUCGUGCCAGCAGCCGCGGUAAUACGAAGGGGGCUAGCGUUGCUCGGAAUUACUGGGCGUAAAGGGCGCGUAGGCGGCUUAGUUAGUCAGGCGUGAAAUUCCUGGGCUCAACCUGGGGACUGCGCUUGAUACGGCUAGGCUAGAGGAUGGAAGAGGGUCGCGGAAUUCCCAGUGUAGAGGUGAAAUUCGUAGAUAUUGGGAAGAACACCGGUGGCGAAGGCGGCGACCUGGUCCAUUACUGACGCUGAGGCGCGACAGCGUGGGGAGCAAACAGGAUUAGAUACCCUGGUAGUCCACGCCGUAAACGAUGUGCGCUGGAUGUUGGGUGACCUAGUCACUCAGUGUCGUAGCUAACGCGGUAAGCGCACCGCCUGGGGAGUACGGCCGCAAGGUUGAAACUCAAAUGAAUUGACGG